ACCAAUUCAGGUGAGCCGGAUGCUAUUUUUACAUCUGGUUCGCUGAACCAGUAGUUGCAAUGACUGGAUGGCCCCUCCCCUCCCAGGAGUCUCCAUGCAGCCCGUUUUGGAUGCCAGGUCAAAGAGCAUUUGAAGGAUGCACCUGAUAUCCCAGGAAGAUCAUCACUGUAAGAAGAUUCAAUAGACUUUGUUCCUCCACUAGAAAAGGAAUAGCUUAAGGAACUCUGCUCCUCUCUGCCAGAAGAAACAAUCAACUUCCUAAUGUGUUGUUCCUCUGGGACCAUAGAACAGAAGCAUGAAUUUGAUAAGUCUGGAAGAUGUACAUGAACUUUACCUGGUUUGGAUAUAUAUCUACUGCCUUAAAUAUUCAUUUGAAUCUUAUUGAACUAAAAUUACACUAUUAUACUGGACAACAAUUUUUCUCAAAACUUUUGCUUUUUUAAAAAAAACUUUUGGUGAGUAUGAUACUCCUUCAAACUGAAUAUAAAAACAAUUUCAGAAUGACUAUAUUAGAUAGAAAUCUUGAGAAAUAUGAAAUUCACCUUUAAUGACCAUAUUGAUUUAAUUACAUAGUAUUUCCAAUGUGCUACCUGAGUUCAACAGGGCUAAAAGUGUUUUGAUGAUGAUUUCCAUUUACAUUCAGUGUUUGAUGCAUCUUGCUGCAAUGUCCAACAAUAGUCAGCUACCAUUGAUGGAUUCCAGUUGCCCUGAUUAAAGCACCAGGUUAGAAAGCAAGAGACAUAACCCUCAAUCAAGUAUCAAUCAAAACUAGGUGUGCAUACCCCUUACCUCUCCUACUCCAAACACUACAGGUCUCAAAUGUAAAUUAAUAAAUGCAAGAAGUAUUGUAAACAAAUUAUCCGAAUUUAUCCU